CUGAGUCAGCUCUGGGGUUUUCCUGGCCCCAGAGUGCCACUGGGCAGUUGGCCAGGUGGCCGGGCACUCUUGCUCCCGGCUCAAUU